AUUGAACGCUGGCGGCAGGCCUAACACAUGCAAGUCGAGCGGGGUUUUCGGACCUAGCGGCGGACGGGUGAGUAAUGCGUAGGAAGCUGCCCGAUAGAGGGGGAUACCAGUUGGAAACGACUGUUAAUACUGCAUAAUGUCUACGGACCAAAGUGUGGGACCUUCGGGCCACAUGCUAUCGGAUGCGCCUACGUGGGAUUAGCUAGUAGGUGGGGUAAUGGCUCACCUAGGCGACGAGCCCUAGCUGGUCUGAGAGGAUGACCAGCCAAACUGGAACUGGGACACGGUCCAGACUCCUACGGGAGGCAGCAGUGGGAAAUAUUGCACAAUGGGCGCAAGCCUGAUGCAGCCAUGCCGCGUGUAUGAAGAAGGCCUUCGGGUUGUAAAGUACUUUCAGCGGGGAGGAAGGCGGUGAAGUUAAUAGCUUCACCGAUUGACGUUACCCGCAGAAGAAGCACCGGCUAACUCCGUGCCAGCAGCCGCCGUAAGAC
rnacentral:rRNA from 1 species